rnacentral:sRNA from 1 species
GUGUUCUGCAACGUAUUUACUUAAUAGAUAGAGCGUGUAUGCUACGAAAGCCUACAUCCUUGAAAACUGCACAGUCGUCAUGGGUGAAUUUGCCUAGACCACUUCCUAAAUCCAAAGCAUCUUUGAAAAGUCCUGCGCUGCGGAGGACAGGAAGCACCCCCUCAAUAGCCAGCACCCAUAGUGAGCUGAGCACUUACAGCAACAAUUCUGGUAAUGCCACUGUCAUCAAAUAUGAGGAGAAACCUCCAAAACCAGCAUUUCAGAAUGGUUCCUCAGGAUCCUUUUAUUUGAAGCCUUUGGUAUCCAGGGCUCAUGUUCACUUGCUGAAAACUCCUCCAAAAGGUCCUUCGAGAAAAAAUUUAUUUACAGCUCUUAAUGCAGUUGAAAAGAGCAGGCAAAAGAAUCCUCGAAGCUUAUGUAUCCAGACACAGACAGCUCCCGAUGUGCUGCCCCCUGAGAAAACACUUGAAUUGACGCAAUAUAAAACAAAAUGUGAAAACCAAAGUGGAUUUAUCCUGCAGCUCAAGCAGCUUCUUGCCUGUGGUAAUACCAAGUUUGAGGCAUUGACAG